CCUACGGGGGGCAGCAGUAAGGAAUAUUGGUCAAUGCCCGGAAGGGUGAACCAGCCAUGCCGCGUGCAGGAUGACGGCCCUAUGGGUUGUAAACUGCUUUUGGAUAGGAAGAAUGGAUUGUAUUGAUAUGAUUUUGACGGUACUAUCAGAAUAAGCACCGGCUAACUCCGUGCCAGCAGCCGCGGUAAUACGGAGGGUGCGAGCGUUAUCCGGAAUUACUGGGUCGAAGGGGUGCGUAGACGUCUGUAUUGAAAGCAUGGAGCUUAACUGCAUAAUUGCCGUCGAUACUGUAAAGCUGGAAGUAAGUUGAGGUUGGCGGAAUGUGACAUGUAGCGGUGAAAUGCAUAGAUAUCUCAUAGAACACCGAUUGCGUAGGCAGCUGACUGAGCUUAAAUUGACGCUGAGGCACGAAAGCGUGGGGAGCGAACAGGAUUAGAUACCCCUGUAGUC
rnacentral:rRNA from 1 species